UACGAAGGGGGCUAGCGUUGUUCGGAAUUACUGGGCGUAAAGCGCACGUAGGCGGAUUGUUAAGUUAGGGGUGAAAUCCCGGGGCUCAACCUCGGAACUGCCUUUGAUACUGCAAAUCUCGAGUCCGGAAGAGGUGAGUGGAAUUCCUAGUGUAGAGGUGAAAUUCGUAGAUAUUAGGAAGAACACCAGUGGCGAAGGCGGCUCACUGGUCCGGUACUGACGCUGAGGUGCGAAAGCGUGGGGAGCGAACAGG
rnacentral:rRNA from 1 species